rnacentral:misc_RNA from 1 species
GCUUUAUCUGCUUUAGCUAAAUUGGGGAAAGGUUCGCUGGCCCAUCAGUUAAUGCUGAAGGCAUACGGUUCUCGUCUUCAGAGAAAUAUUGAAACUUUCCUUCUUUCAUGUUCGGUUUACUCAGAAACUUAUACUGCUACUAUUUCUCAACUCGUGUUCUCGACAAUCUUAGUGGCAAAAAAAGAAUCGGGUUUACUGUUCGGAGACACGCCUUCUUGUACAAAUCGG